AUUUUUUUAAUUGUGUUUUGGAUAUUUUAUAGCAGUUAUGAAAUUGAAUAGUAAUAGUAUAAAGAGCUUCUUAGUGUGCGCGUGUACAUUUGUGUGGGUAACUUUCUAGUUUUCGCUCGCUGCUCGCGACUCGAGUCUGUAUUUGCAUAAAACGUGAACGGUUUUUCAUAAUACAACCACAUGGUGUGCGAUUCGUCACGCGUCGCUUCGGACGAUAAAUUGGCCAGUGGCCACACGUUGGAAGUUUUCCAUUAUUUAAGAAUCUCCAUGUUGUGGAAAUGUUUGAUAGUACGAUUUUAAGAAUAACUACUACUUUUUGAUUACUAUAUUUUGUAAUUUGUACCUGUCUUGAAGAGCAUUUGAGACAGGAUAGAUAAUGGUUAUUUAGCAAUCUAUAUAAGUAUGUUUUUAGGUCGUCUAAGCGAAGGUAAAAUAUUUAAAAGAGACCAUUUUUAUAUUUCAAGUUGACAAAGAAUUACAUAUUAACUGUAUUUGCGAUGUUUAAUUUGACCCUUCACUUUACCCUUUAAUAGAUUAAGUAAAGUACUAAGUACAAUUUGACAACAUAGAUGGCGCUGCCUUGAGAGAACCAAUAUACAUCUAGGAAAAAUUA